CUGGAACUGUGUCCGCAAGGACACAACCCCAGAUACCCUUUGUGAACUUAUUCUUAUAUCGUUGCCUCGGCGCUGAGCUGGGGGCUUCUUUCCAAGGAGCUCUCCCAUGGUCUCUCGGGACGAUGGAGCAAGCCCGCCGGCGGCCCUUCUAAACUCUUGUUUUUAUUACGUAUCUCUUCUGAGUUAUUCAAAACAAAUGAAUCA
rnacentral:misc_RNA from 1 species